CUUUCCACUGGGUCCAGGUUUUCAUCACCAUGGUAACCGCUGGGGGGUGGAAGCAGAAUUUCUCAGCAUUCCAGACACAGAUUACAUGGGGGAAGAAAGAGCAAGAAAGACAGACCUGAGCCAGGCCUGAGAGGUCAAGAUGGGAAAAUUGGGUCUCAGCAAAGCGACUGUCCAAGAUGACAGCAAAUGGGUGGCUUAUUUUUCGAGUCAGGAGCUGGGUGCUAUUUGCAUGACCCCAUGAUGACACAGACUGCAUAUCGGAGGAGGCAUUCCGCUGUAACAAACAGGCCCACGCAGCUAAAAUCAGAUCUUUCCCAAAAACCUGAAAGCAACAACAACAAAAAAGCUAACAGAGGAAUGAACAAAAGACGACUUGGAGAGGAGUGCUUCUGAACCAAUGCCAGAUGAUGAGGAAAAAGACAUAGAAGAGCCAGUGCCACAAAACAAUGGACAUUAGACAUUCUGACCGAAGAGUUCUGAUUAUUCAAUACUGUUUUACUUCUUUUACAACAUGGACCUGUCUAUGAUAUGAGCCCUGAGACUAAAGCAAACAGUGGAAGAAGACUUGGUACCAUAUAGAGACAUUUUUAGAGAAAUGUAAAAGCAAAAAAGUGAGACAAAAAUUACAAUAUAUUUACAUAAAUUU